CAACUCCCAGCGAUGGAUGCCUCGGCUCGCGCCUCGAUGAAGGACGCAGCAAAGUGCGAUAUCCAGCAUGAUUUGCAACUUCUUGCGAUUGCUAGACCUCUGAACGUAACCAACACACUUUUUGUACGUCCAUCUCAGUGAAUUCCCUGUAUGGCACAAU
rnacentral:rRNA from 1 species